AGUGCUAUGGAACGUAUUUCAGG
rnacentral:siRNA from 1 species